UUGUCGUCAGCUCGUGUCGUGAGAUGUGGUUAAGUCCGCAACGAGCGCAACCCUCGACCUUAGUUGCCAGCAUUCAGUUGGGCACUCUAAGGUGACUGCCGGCUAAAAGUCGGAGGAAGGUGGGGAUGACGUCAAAUCAUCAUGCCCCUUAUGACCUGGGCUACACACGUGCUACAAUGGGCGGUACAAAGGGUCGCGAACCCGCGAGGGGGAGCCAAUCCCAAAAAGCCGCUCUCAGUUCGGAUUGCAGGCUGCAACUCGCCUGCAUGAAGCCGGAAUCGCUAGUAAUCGCGGAUCAGCAUGCCGCGGUCGAAUACGUUCCCGGGCCUU
rnacentral:rRNA from 1 species